CACGCUGUAAACGAUGAAAACUAAGUAUUGCCGCGAGGCAGUGCUGUAGCUAACGCAUUAAGUUUUCCGCCUGGGGAGUACGCUCGCAAGAGUGAAACUUAAAGGAAUUGACGGGGGCCCGCACAAGCAGUGGAGCAUGUGGUUUAAUUCGACGCUACGCGAAGAACCUUACCAGGUCUUGACAUCCCGAUGACCGCUCUAGAGAUAGAGUUUUCCCUUCGGGGACAUUGGUGACAGGUGG
rnacentral:rRNA from 1 species